rnacentral:lncRNA from 1 species
UCCUCAAGCAAAUAAACAUAGUCAAACAAGCUUUCUCACUCUAGAUCCUUAUUUCCACUUAAACUCUUACUCUAGAUACCUAUUUUGAAGCAUUGCAGUGAAGAAUAUAUGUAUGAAGACUACUCACCUUCUUUCCUUGUUUCCCUUUACUUACCAUGGCUAGGAUUUGUUUUCCUCAAGAGAGAUCAUACAUGCACAUUUUUGUUAAGACUUUUUCCAGCUUUUGGUGUGACUUGCCCUUGCCUUGAAGUACUUUAUUCAGGCUUUUUACAUUUUUAGAUCUUGCUUGGAGAAGUCACCAACCUUUUGACAUGAAGGUACAUAUUUGUGAUACCCACCUCCAGUUACUCAGUUGGUCACCUUUCCAAGUGGCUACUAGCUCUGUUCUUAGUCUUUUGACCAUUGGAAC